UAUUAAUUUGUUUGUAAUGUUGCAAUGGUUGUAAAAUUAGAAAAAUAAUUUAUAAUGUGAUAAUUAAGUAAUUUUUAAUGAAAUUAAGAUUUAACUAUAGAGUAAAAGUACUGUAAGGGAAAAAAUAAAAGAAAAAGUUAGUAGAAGUAAGUUUUUGUACCUUGUGUCUCAGGGAAAAUUUAUUUAAGUCAAAGUUUUUGAAUAUCUCGAAAUAAAUAUAGUUAAUUUUAUAAAAUUAUUAUUGUAGAAAAUUUAUUUAAAAUAUAAAAUUAAAGGUGAAAUAUUAGUCGAGAUUUAUUAUAUCUAGUUUUUUAAAAUGAAAAUUAAAUUUUAUUUUUUUAUUUAUUUAUAAAAAAUUUUAAUGUAGGAAGGAUAAGCUUCUUAUAUGGGUAGAAAACAGAUAAUAACAUGUAUAUAUUUUAAAUUAGGCUUAAAAAUUGCUUUAUUUAUAAAGUGUUAUAAUUAAAUAAUAAAAAUGAAAUAAUUUGUUUUAUCUUUUUUUAAUAUUAAAAAAAAUAAAAGAAUUUAUUAUUUAUAAUUAUAAUAAUUUUAUUAGUAAAAUUUAAUGUUCUAUAAUGAAGUAAAAUAAUAAUUAAAUAAUAAAUAAAUUAAAGAUAACUCAAAGGAAUUCAGCAAAUAAAAUUUUUUGCCUGUUUAUCAAAAACAUGUCUUUUUGAAAAUAUAAAAAGUCCAAUCUGCCCACUGAUAAAUUGUAUUAAAGGGCCGCAGUAUUUUAACUGUGCAAAGGUAGCAUAAUAGUUAGUUCUUUAAUUGAGAUCUUGAAUGAAUGAUUAGACAAAAAAAUUACUGUCUUUGUAAUAAAAAUUGAAUUUAACUUUUAAGUGAAAAGGCUUAAAUAAUUUGGAGUGACGAUAAGACCCUAUAAAGCUUUAUAUUAUAUAAGAGUUUUGAUGAUAUAGAAAUAUAAAAUUUUAAAAGUUAUUAAUAUUUUAUUGGGGCGAUAAAAGUAAAAAUUUAAAUAACUGCUUUAAUAAAAAACAAAUAUAAAUGAUUAAUAAGUUAAAUGAUCUUAUUGUGUAAAAUAAAAGUUUAAGUUACUUUAGGGAUAACAGCGUUAUUUUUCUUAAGAGUUCUUAUCGAAAGAAAAUAUUGCGACCUCGAUGUUGAAUUAAGAUAUCUAUAUAAUUGUAGAAGUUAUAUAAGAAGGUCUGUUCGACCUUUAAAUUUUUACAUGAUUUGAGUUCAGACCGGUUUAAACCAGGUCGGUUUCUAUCUUUCAAUAAAUAAUAAUUAUUAUAGUACGAAAGGACCUAAUAGUUAAAAUAUUUUUUAAUAU
rnacentral:rRNA from 1 species